GCUUGCGACGCAUUCGGUCAAACGUGCUUCUGCAGCAGGAGGACCUCCAAAAUCGUGUUCUGCAGUGGUGCUGGAAACGGUGAUAGCAUGUAAACACACUAUUCGAAACACUGGAUACUGAACGAAUCUCGAACCAACUCCUGACUGACUCCGAAUCGCUUCCGAACUGACUCCGAAUCGCCUCCGAACCGUCCGCUUAAAGACGGAAAGAAAGCAACAAUUAAAAAUGGGGAAUAUAUGUUUAUAGAAUGGCCGAGCUGUAUUACAUGUAUUUCCCUCUCACUCAUUUGUAAUGAUCAGCAAAUAAACAAAAGCAUAAGGAAAU